UGUAAUGUUUAAUGUAGUGUCCAUUUAGCCCAGAAGAUGAACAUUAUCUAUCCCCCAUUAGGGAAGAUAUAUUUUUAAAGGGUUGAUAAUAGCUAAAAGAUUACACUGUCCAGUAUAAAUGCUGAAAAAAACACCGGAGGAAAAGGAACAACAAUCCCAGCACCAACCUUGAAGCUGCUGUUGUUCCUCUCUGGAGACUCCUCCGUUCAGCCUAAAACUGCUCCUGCUCUUCAUCUGCUCCUCCACAGACUCCAACUGCAUCGCCACACACAGCAGGUCCUGACUCAGAGCCUGAAAAGUGACAACAACCACAGAGAUCCCAGACAGGUGUCCCUGUGCAGGAGCACCUCCUCUCUCCUCCCCAGCUCCCCCUCCAGCUCCUGCAGCUCUGCUCUCUUCUGAAGGACCCGCUCCUCCUCUUCUUCCAGCCAGUUUCUGUCAUGAAACUACAGUAAGACAGGAAGGAGUGAGAAGAGUGAGGAUUAAUGGAAAGGGGAAAGGGGUAAAGGAUGAUGAGCAAUUAACAUGGAGUGCAUGAAACUCUGACAACGGGUUUAUUUCAGGGAGGAUGCUAAACAAACUUUAAAGGAUACCAACAGCUCCUAUUUAACAUUUUACCUUUCUCUUUAAUUCCUCAUGAUGCUUGCUCCUGCAGACAGUCAUAUCAUCUCCCUCUUGCUCCUGCAAAUAACACUGAUACAGUUAGUGACACAGGAGUCACUUAUAUUUUACUUGUGCUAAAAGUUAGCUGUUCUAUUCUUGCAGUUUUGUCGUUCCAAAUGAAUCUAACGUCCACCGGUUAUAUUUAACCCUUAGUUAACCAAGGGUGAAAUAACAAACUAAACAGAAAAAAAGAUCUGUGAGUAACAAUCUGUACAACUGACCCCGUUUUGUUCAAGUUCUCGGAGACUGCUCUGAAGCUGAGCUUUCUGCAGUCUCAUGUGCUGAAGACUGUGGUACACCUCGGACUGGAUCCUCCGUCUUUGCAUGGAGAGCCUCAUCAACACAUCAGAUUCUCUGCCAUCUUUGCUGAGCCUGCCCUGUUGGUUCAAGGCUUUCGUUUUCUUGUCUGUCAGACAAAGCACGUAUUAAUCUUGCAAAUAUUGCUGAAAUAAGAGAUAUCACAUAUAAAUAGAUGGUCUAAUGUUUUAAAGUAUGAUGUCAUGAUGGUUGUUUCCUCAGUUAAAAUGGUGUGUCAGUACCUAUGGUCAGUAUAGCAUUAGUGCAUAGAGAUGUUCCAUUUUCCAAAAAAGUUACCUGGCUAAAUGGUAACUAGAUAAAGAGAUUAUCACUGAAAGAUGUCCGUGCGUAGGCCCCUAUGUUGUGGAAAUAUAAUUCUCUGUCUCUUUGCUACUGUUGUUGCCCUAGGAGUCCAACAUUCUCACAGUAGAAGCUGGAUGUUGUAGAAGUAUCAUUAUUGCACUAAUCAGCAUUGCAGAAAUGUUUCGACCAACCUUGGCUCACUUAAAGCUGCUUUCACUUUUGAUACACAAACAUUAGCCAAAGAUUUAAAUUAUUCUAAAGUCAGUAUACUGAAUAAAGCCACAAACAAACACACACACACACAGGAGUACAUGAGUUAAAGGUAUGUAAUUACAUGAACACACCAGUGUUGUUUAUCUCUUUGAUGAGCUCUUCUUUCAUGCGCAUGUUGACUGACAGAUCUCUGAUCUGUCUCUGAGUAACACUGGCUCUCAGUCUGGCCUUCCUCAUUUGGUUUCGCUUUGACUGGUUUUCCUCUGUCCCUGAGAAGAUAUUAGAAGUGAUUAUAUGUCACAUAUAUAUAAGACACAACAUGUUUGGUAUUUAAUUACUUCAAGUUUACCUGUGGCCUGCACUGGUGGAAUUCCAUUCACAGUUUGGUCUGUUCCAGUGUUUUUCUUUUUCAGAGCAGAUUUUUUCUGCUGGCUAGUCCAUGUUCGGUUUAAAGAACGCCUGGAACAUAGACACAAUGUGUUAAAAAGUAGCCACAAUAUAAAAAUCUGAAUGAAGAUUACUGAAAUAUGAGAAAAAUUAGUUAUGAUUUUUGUAUUGCUGUUUUGAAGUUAUUGUUUGUUAAAAAAAAAUGACCAUCAGAUGAAAGGUCUUUGUUGUAGUAAAUCAAUGAUGGUUUGCUUAAUAAAGAACCGUUGGAGGAUUACACACUCUCACCUGGAACCCACUCUGCCCACUAAGAUGUCCUCCUGGUCCUUUUGGCUCUC